UUGAAGGAGCCAAAAAUAGUAGGUGGUGUGAAGGAAAUGGAAAAAGGUGGAGAGGUGAAGGAGCCAAAAAAGAAAGGAAGUGAAAUCGGAGGUGCAAAUGUGAAGAGAGCUGAAGGAGCGAAAAAGGAGGUGGAAAGUGAAGAGGCAAAAAGGAGAUGGAGAGAUGAAGGAGAAGAUUGAAGCGUUAGAAAAGGAAUUUUCCGGAGAGUUCUGGGGCUUGUAUGUCCCAUAGGUGGGUGGCAGGUUGCAUUUCGGGCCGUUAGAUUGGAACAGUGUCAGAUCGAGCCUGACUCCGGCGUCAGCACUUUAACAUUUCAGCUUCUCCACAAACGCUUCCUAAGGGAGGGCUCGAGUCUGGGAGUUCAGCGGUUCAGAAUUAGGGUAAGUGGAGUUGCUGCUCAUGUGGCAGUAACGAUGGAUUCCACACUCGUCCUGUAUGAUUUAAUCUGAUUCCUGGUAUAAUUGUUCUGAAAUGUGCUUCAUUUUCCCCCCCAUUGGCUUAACAUUUGGUUAAAAAAGAGACUCAAUCCAUAGUUUAAUAAUGUACUAGGGCUAGGGUUAGGGUUAAGUUGUCCUUGUGUCUGUUGUGAGCUCGCGAAUCCAGACUCGUGCUCUUGCUUGAACUGACUGUAAUGUUAACAUUUUUAAAUGAAACCGUUGUCUGCCGGUUCUACAAGACACAUAUCGACACCUUGACACGUUUCAACUCAGCAAAGGUUCCUGGCACACUAUACGCUUUUCUCAGCACAAAAUAGACGCUUAAUUGCUCUUAAUCGAAAUGAUCUCAGCGCCUAGCGAGGAUCUUCAUCACAUUCCGCUCCUAGAGCAGACCGUUAAAACCGACCGGCAGUGUGCUUGGAUGAAGAGGAUGAUGAAACGAGUCUGUGGUCUGCAUAUAGGGUUGUUUUUGUUUUUUUGUUUUUAUGACCGCUCGAGCCAGUCGAUUUUUAAACAGUCCCUAUAGGUAAUCGGUGAAGCUAAUAGCCUGAGCGCCAUUUGCCUGAGCCCACUGUCCCAGCGGGAGCCGUUCGGGUACUCGCCGCAACAUAAACGUGACGACGUCAUGGCUGGUGAUGGGAAGACGAUUGCGUUUCAGGAAGCGCUCGGAUGUUUUACCUUCCGACGUAUCGGAUAUCCAUCAACAUCAGAAGCAGCUGAGCUCACACCCACACACACCCUCAGAUCGCACGCAAAGACGGCUCAUUAAUAAUAGAGUCCGUCUGCGCCGUCCCUCUGUCUCACUUACUGUUCUAGUCUAAUGCGGGUCAUCAGGCGUUAGCUGUUUCUUGCGCUACUCAAAACCCUUCACGCAGCAUGGGAU
ensembl:lncRNA